rnacentral:rRNA from 1 species
GAACUGGCAACUUGGAGAAGUGGCAAGUCUUCCAGUAUGGGGAGCAAAACAGCUAUGGGUCAAGUCCGAUAUCUUUAGGAGAAGUCUUAUUGUGAGGGCGAGUUAUAUAACACCAUAGGACUGGCCGUCCCAUAUGAAAAGAUUAUAUUAGAAUUGAAUGAAGCUUUGUUUAUAUAUUGAUAAUGACAGUAUAUAUAUCGUGUCUUGACUAAUUGCGUGCCAGCAGUCGCGGUAAUACGUAAGAGACUAGUGUUAUUCAUCUUAAUUAGGUUUAAAGGGUACCCAGACGGUCAAUAUAGCUUAUAAAAUGUUAGUACUUGACUAGAGUUUUAUGUAAGAGGGCAGUACUUGAGGAGGAGAGAUGAAAUUUCGUGAUACCAAAGGGACUCUGUAAAGGCGAAGGCAGCCCUCUAUGUAAAAACUGACGUUGAAGGACGAAGGCACAGAGAACAAACAGGAUUAGAUACCCAAGUAGUCUUUGCAGUAAAUGAUGAAUGCCAUAGGUUAGAUUGAUCAAUUAUAGUCUAGGGUUAGUCUAGCAAACUAAUGCCCUAUGAUAUAAUUCAAAAUAUCUGGUCUAUAAAUGAAAGUGUAAGCAUUUCACCUCAAGAGUAAUGUGGCAACGCAGGAACUGAAAU